rfam:Phalacrocorax carbo contig20543, whole genome shotgun sequence.
CCAAAGGUUUCUGUUGAAACCACUGCACAAAAAAUAUUUGUGUGUAG